rnacentral:rRNA from 1 species
UACGAAGGGGGCUAGCGUUGUUCGGAAUUACUGGGCGUAAAGCGCACGUAGGCGGGUGAUUAAGUCAGGGGUGAAAUCCCGGAGCUCAACUCCGGAACUGCCUUUGAUACUGGUCGUCUAGAGAUCGGAAGAGGUGAGUGGAAUUCCCAGUGUAGAGGUGAAAUUCGUAGAUAUUGGGAAGAACACCAGUGGCGAAGGCGGCUCGCUGGUCCGAUACUGACGCUGAGGUGCGAAAGCGUGGGGAGCAAACAGG